rnacentral:rRNA from 1 species
CGGAGGGUGCAAGCGUUAUCCGGAUUCACUGGGUUUAAGGGGUGCGUAGGCGGGCAGGUAAGUCAGUGGUGAAAUCUCCGGGCUUAACCCGGAAACUGCCGUUGAUACUAUCUGUCUUGAAUAUCGUGGAGGUAAGCGGAAUAUGUCAUGUAGCGGUGAAAUGCUUAGAUAUGACAUAGAACACCCAUUGCGAAGGCAGCUUACUACACGAUCAUUGACGCUGAGGCACGAAAGCGUGGGGAGCAAACAGGAUUAGAUACCCUGGUAGUCCACGCCCUAAACGAUGGAUACUCGACAUCAGCGAUACACUGUUGGUGUCUGAGCGAAAGCAUUAAGUAUCCCACCUGGGAAGUACGACCGCAAGGUUG